rnacentral:rRNA from 1 species
GUGGGGAAUUUUGGACAAUGGGCGCAAGCCUGAUCCAGCAAUGCCGCGUGCAGGAAGAAGGCCUUCGGGUUGUAAACUGCUUUUGUACGGAACGAAACGGUCCUGGCUAAUAUCCGGGGCUAAUGACGGUACCGUAAGAAUAAGCACCGACUAACUACGUGCCAGCAGCCGCGGUAAUACGUAGGGUGCGAGCGUUAAUCGGAAUUACUGGGCGUAAAGCGUGCGCAGGCGGUGCUGUAAGACAGGCGUGAAAUCCCCGGGCUCAACCUGGGAAUUGCGCUUGUGACUGCAGUGCUGGAGUGCGGCAGAGGGGGAUGGAAUUCCGCGUGUAGCAGUGAAAUGCGUAGAUAUGCGGAGGAACACCGAUGGCGAAGGCAAUCCCCUGGGCCUGCACUGACGCUCAUGCACGAAAGCGUGGGGAGCAAACAGGAUUAGAAACCCUGGUAGUCC